rnacentral:tmRNA from 1 species
GGGGCCGUACAUGGUUUCGACGGGGAUCACGGGGGCCGGAUAAGCGAGCCGAAGCCCCGCGCUUCGUAAAAAGCGGGAAAUUAAAAAUUAACUGACGAAGCUAAUUUUGUACCCGUCGCUGCUUAAGCAGUGACCGUCCGCCCUCAGGUUCCCACGCCUGAGGACACGGGCGUCAUCAAUGUGGGGAACCAACCUGCGUAAGCUUUGCCGCAGGCGGGAUUUAUGAAGCUACCGAAGCGCCGACCCUGCCGCUGGGGGCCUCGCCGAGGGAACUCUAAAACAACGGCUACGCUCGUAGAAAGUCUUGCUGAUGGGUUUUCGGACAGGAGUUCGACUCUCCUCGGCUCCACCA